rnacentral:rRNA from 1 species
AUGAAACUCCAGCGAGGCCAUGAGCUCCCGAUUCCCAACCCGGGCGUAGGAGCGUACGGGAGCGCCGUCGUGGAUCCUGCGCGUCCUAGGUCCGCCGAGGCCACGGGCUCCCAAGCCGGGCAUAGAGAAGAUAGAACAAAUGAGUAUGGAGAUCCAGCUGUUGAAGACGCCGAGGGACAAGAACAUUCAGGAGUUGUUCACCUAAUGGGUUGUCCUGAUGGAACAGUGAAGAUCGGCGACUAUAUGGUCUGGCGACAUUAUUGCAUCAAUGGAAAAAGCAAAGUGUCAAAGCCUCUUCUGUCAAUCCAGCAGCACACCGCUGCCCUUCGCAUCCUCCCUGCAUCACUGCAACUGGGCCGUGCUCACAUCGUCUGCGGUCACAUGCGCAAUCUCUGCGCUCGACGCUGCCUCCACCGAGAUUCAUUGCAAGGGUGCCUGAAACGCCCACUGCUGGGUACAUGCAUACAACAAUUAUGCCAUGUCUUCCCUAUUCGAUCGGUCGCACAUGUAUGUUUCUUUUCCUUCUUUGUUUAG